rnacentral:rRNA from 1 species
GAUGAACGCUGGCGGCGUGCCUAAUACAUGCAAGUCGAGCGAAUGGAUUAAGAGCUUGCUCUUAUGAAGUUAGCGGCGGACGGGUGAGUAACACGUGGGUAACCUGCCCAUAAGACUGGGAUAACUCCGGGAAACCGGGGCUAAUACCAGAUAACAUUUUGAACCGCAUGGUUCGAAAUUGAAAGGCGGCUUCGGCUGUCACUUAUGGAUGGACCCGCGUCGCAGUUAGCUAGUUGGUGAGGUAACGGCUCACCAAGGCAACGAUGCGUAGCCGACCUGGGAGGGUGGUCGGACACACUGGGACUGAGACACGGCCCAGACUCCUACGGGAGGCAGCAGUAGGGAAUCUUCCGCAAUGGACGAAAGUCUGACGGAGCAACGCCGCGUGAGUGAUGAAGGCUUUCGGGUCGUAAAACUCUGUUGUUAGGGAAGAACAAGUGCUAGUUGAAUAAGCUGGCACCUUGACGGUACCUAACCAGAAAGCCACGGCUAACUACGUGCCAGCCGCCGCGGUAA